UACGGAGGGGACUAGCGUUGUUCGGAAUUACUGGGCGUAAAGCGCACGUAGGCGGAUUUGUAAGUCAGGGGUGAAAUCCCGGGGCUCAACCUCGGAACUGCCUUUGAUACUGCAAAUCUCGAGUCCGGAAGAGGUGAGUGGAAUUCCUAGUGUAGAGGUGAAAUUCGUAGAUAUUAGGAAGAACACCAGUGGCGAAGGCGGCUCGCUGGGACGUUACUGACGCUGAGACGCGAAAGCGUGGGGAGCAAACAGG
rnacentral:rRNA from 1 species